AAAAAACAAAAACUUAAAAAAAAAAAAAAAUCUCCUUACAGAAAACGGAAAUUGUAGUUCCUCUCUCCAUAUGUUCAUGCUUCCUCCACUAAUUUGGUCUUACUGCCUGAUGUGUAUGAAGAUAUAGAGAAAGAAGGAAAGAGGCAAGAAGAAUGAUAAUGGUGGAAGGAGUAAUUUUACAAUGAUAUAAGGCUAGGAUUCCUUCUUUUUCUUUUUGAUUCCCUUCCAUGGUGUUUACCCCUCAACCUUGUUUUUUUAUUUGGGAAGGUAUAGGGUAUCUAUUGAAAUGUUGGAGUUAAAGAAGCCAAAAGGCUAUGCUAGGUUUUUAUCUAAGACAAGGGUG
rnacentral:misc_RNA from 1 species